UACGUAGGUGGCAAGCGUUGUCCGGAUUUACUGGGCGUAAAGCGUGCGCAGGCGGUUUUGUAAGCCAGAUGUGAAAGCCCCGGGCUCAACCUGGGAAUGGCAUUUGGGACUGCAAGGCUGGAGUAUGGCAGAGGAGACUAGAAUUCCUGGUGUAGCAGUGAAAUGCGUAGAUAUCAGGAGGAAUACCGAUGGCGAAGGCAGGUCUCUGGGCCAAUACUGACGCUCAUGCACGAAAGCGUGGGGAGCAAACAGG
rnacentral:rRNA from 1 species